AACGAACGCUGGCGGCAGGUCUUAGGCAUGCAAGUCGAACGGGUGCAGCAAUGCAUCAGUGGCGCACGAGUGAGUAACGCGUGGGAAUAUGCCCAUCACUGGGGAAUAACGUUUGGAAACGAACGCUAAUACCGCAUACGCCUGACCUCUUAAUUUUUUUUAGGAUGCAAAAUCGGAAAAAUUAAGUGGUCAGGGAAAGAUUUAUCGGUGAUGGAUUAGCCCGCGUUGGAUUAGCUUGUUGGUGGGGUAACGGCCUACCAAGGCGAUGAUCCAUAGCUGGUCUGAGAGGACGAUCAGCCACGCUGGAACUGAGACACGGUCCAGACUCCUACGGGAGGCAGCAGCUAAGAAUAUUGGGCAAUGGAGGAAACUCUGACCCAGCCAUGCCGCGUGAAUGAAGAAGGCCUUCGGGUUGUAAAGUUCUUUUAGUCGUGAAGAUGAUGACGGUAGCGACAGAAAAAGCACCGGCUAACUUCGUGCCAGCAGCCGCGGUAAUACGAAGGGUGCAAGCGUUGUUCGGAUUUACUGGGCGUAAAGCGUCCGCAGGUGGCUUGUUAAGUCAGGGGUGAAAUCCCAGGGCCCAACCCUGGAACUGCCUUUGAUACUGGCAAGCUGGAGCGUUAUAGAGGAAGAUGGAAUAUCUGGUGUAGGGGUGAAAUCCGUAGAUAUCAGAUGGAACACCAAUGGCGAAGGCAGUCUUCUGGAUAAUCGCUGACACUCAUGGACGAAAGCGUGGGGAGCAAACAGAAUUAGAUACUCUGGUAGUCCACGCCCUAAACGAUGCAUGCUUGUUGUCGGAUUCCUUCGGGGAUUCGGUGACGAAGCUAACGCGUUAAGCAUGCCGCCUGGGGAGUACGAUCGCGAGAUUAAAACUUAAAGGAAUUGACGGGGACCCGCACAAGCGGUGGAGUAUGUUGUUUAAUUCGAUGCUACGCGAGAAACCUUACCGACCCUUGACAUCCGCUACGCGAUUUCCAGAGAUGGAUUUCUUCUAUUCGGUAGGUAGCGAGACAGAUGCUGCAUGGCUGUCGUCAGCUCGUGUCGUGAGAUGUUAGGUUAAGUCCUGCAACGAGCGCAACCCACGCCAAAUGUUGCCAGCGGGUAAUGCCGGGAACUCUUUUGGGACUGCCUGCGUCAAGCAGGAGGAAGGUGUGGAUGACGUCAAGUCAUCAUGGUUCUUACGGGUCGGGCUACAAACGUACUACAAUGGCGUUAACAAUGGGUCGCAAUACUGCAAAGUAAAGCUAAUCCUUAAAAAACGCCUCAGUUCAGAUUGUCCUCUGCAACUCGAGGGCAUGAAGCUGGAAUCGCUAGUAAUCGCUGAUCAGAAUGCAGCGGUGAAUACAUUCCCGGGUCUU
rnacentral:rRNA from 1 species